rnacentral:lncRNA from 1 species
UUUUAAAUGAAAAAUAUUUCUGUACACUUAUUCAGAAAGUUCUCUGAAGUACUUUAUUAAAUGGGGGGAAAAACAAGGAACAAUGUGUACUGUAUGAUUUUAUGUAAAAAGAGGGACAAAAUAUAAUUAUAUUUGAGGUAAUAUGGGUACGGGGGACAAGAGUGGGUAUAAGAUUUUUUGCUGUAUACCAUUUUUGAAAAUAAUUUUUAUUUUUCAUAGGGACAAGAGAUUUAUUACAUUAACAGUUCACAAAAAGAUCUAUGAAGUU